CUACUCUGGCCUCCUUGGGAGGUAAAGCGAGAGUGGUUGGAAUCCAGGAGUGCUGGGAUCCCCCUCUGCCACGUCAAACCAUUGCAGCCUUGGACAAGAUCCUAAUCUCUUUGUGCCUCUGUUUCACUCUGUACAAAAUGAGAACAAUAACUCACACCUGCAUACUUUUAUAAUCCUAAGAGUGAGACCGAGAGUGAAAGUACUUAGAAAGGAACUCCAUGUUAACAAAGGUAAUAAAAUCCAAAUGACUGACUGAUGGCAUCCAUAAACUUGACCUCUGCAUAUCCUUCUAACAUCAUUACAUUGCCACCCUGGCCUACCACACCAUCAAGAUCCGUCUUACUGAAACUAGAGAUUAUCACAGGUUUUUCAUACUUAAGGAGACAGACUGGGCCUCUUCAUAAGGCAACAGUGUUCCAGGAGAGCGAAAGUGGAAUUGCACAGCUACUAAAGGCAGCCUCACAGCCUACAACCCAUUAUGAAUUAGUGGAUGCAGGCUUGAGCAUCAGUGGCUGCUGACAUCACAGAAACCAAGACAACUAGAUGUUACGCACCUACUGAGGGGGAGCCCAUCACCUAUGAAGCUGUCUUGCUAAAAUGAAAAAAACUGAACUUUAAUCUGAUCAAGGCUGUAGUUACAACCGCCAAGUUUCAGGAAAUACAGGAGACAAAAGAACACGUUAAACUACACCACAGCAGUAAAUCAGCAAAUCCAGACUAGAAAAACACUGUAGAAAAGCAACCUGUUUUUUUUCAAUAAAUAUACUAGGAAAGGGGAAAAAAAAAAAAAAAAAAAAAGGCUCAGAAGAAGCACAUGCAUUAGGAGAGACCAAUAAUUAUGUAUAGAAUUGUUGGAUCCUGAUUCAAAUAAUCUAUUUUAAAGAUUAUGACAUUUUUGUAAUUUUGGAAAUUUGUAGAGACAGAACCAUGAAAUUAAGGAAUUAAAGCUAAUCUGAAGUAU
rnacentral:lncRNA from 9 species